UCCCAACUCAGGAGAAGGUAAUAAGCUAACUCUAGUUAGUAGUUUCAGAGUAUAUGUUUUUAGAACUUAACGUUGAAAACUUUUUUCUGAAAAUACAGAAACUACUUUUUUAUUGCCAAAAUUGUACCUAUACUGGCACAUGCGGCUGGGGAUAAAACUAUGAAUUCCGCACAGAUUUUCUAUAAUUGGCCCAACUUUUUGGGAUGGAAAGAGAGCAAAGUCUGUAGCUUGAUAAAAAUGGAGUCAAGUCCUGUCUCUACCAUUUAUUAGCUGCUUUCCCUAAGAUAUAUUUUCAUCCUUCAUUCAUUUAUUACCUAAAGAAUGAGUGGUAAGAAUAAGAGUACAAAGAUGAGCAAAGCACAGCCUCUACCUUCUGAAUUCACAGUAGUCCGGGGACAGAGGGCAUUGUGACAUAAGCAGUGAGACCACUGCCAAGUACUGUGUGGGAUGUGUUAGGAAUUCAGAGAAAGACUUCUGCGUGAUCUGAGGGAUUACAGAUGGCUGCCCAGGCAGGUGAUCUCCAAGAUGAGCCUUUGAAAGGAUUAAUGCCAGAACCCGGAAGGAAGCUCCCCCACCACCAUCCCAAGCUCCUAGGGCAGAGAAGGUGAGCCAAUCCCAGAACACGGAAAGAACACCAAGUGCUCCCAAGAUGCAGGAGGCUGGAGAAGAUACCAGAAAUCGAACUCAGGACCUUGCACUUGCCAGGCAGCUGCGGCACUGCUGAGCUAAAUCCCUGGCCCUGAGUAACUCUUUUUCUAUACACCUAGUGGCCUUUCUUAUUUUCUUAGAAAAUUAGUUAAUGCCACACAAAAGCACAAGAUGGCCUUUACUUAAAUAUGUUUUGGAUGAGAUAGCAUUAUCAACAACUGUGUCUGCCACAAAAGGCAUGUCUUGCCAAACAGUGGGCUGGUGAUACAGGUCACUCUGAAGUACCCUACUGCUCUUGGAGAAAGGCACGUUGCAUAGAGGGUGUGACAGACAUCUGUGCCACGGGGGUAGUAUCAGUUGAGGGAUGUAUGAUGCCAAGGAUAUUUCACUAAGCUGCACAACGCCGAGAGAUUCUGCUGUUACUGAAAAAGGACAUGUGAUGCUCCAUUUAAUACUUACUAUCAACACUGUGACUUUCCAGUUCCUAACUCCUAAGGACAUCCAGUGCUCUGGUGGUUUCACUAUCAAGGCUUCAGCAGUUCUCCCCCGGAAGUCUCUGUUGGAGUCAUGGACACUCGGGCGAGCUGGAUGUUCCUACUAAGCAAGCGUUUGGCUAUGGUGGAGGACGGUGAAAGACAAGCAGGAAGGGAAGACAGAACUUCGUAUUAGUUUGCCACGACUGCCUUAACAAAGUGCCACUGAUCCAAUAACUUGGACAACAGAAAUUUAUUGUCUCGUGAUUCUGGGGGCUAGAAGUUCAAGAUCCACAGGUUGCUAGGUUUGGAUUCUCCUAAGAUGUCUCUCCUUGGCUUGUAGCCAGCAGUCUCCUCUAUGGGAUUAUGCAGUCUCCAUUCUGUACAUGGCGUCUGAAUUCCCUCUUCUCAUGAGGACAUCAGUCACACUGACUUAGGAUCACCCUCGUGACCUCAUUUUAUCUCUUCAAAUACUCUGCAAAUCAGUCACAUUCGGAGGUACUGGGAGCUAAGGCUUUCAACUAACUAAUCCAGGGGACACUAUUUGGCCCAUAAGAGGAUUGAAAUGUAUUGUUCAGGUAAAUCAUUAACAGAGGAAAUGGUCUCUGGAAAUCUUAAGCAGAACUGAAUAAGAGAGCAAAUAAAAGUGAUAAUGGAUUUAG